rnacentral:rRNA from 1 species
AGGGUUUGAUCCCGGCUCAGAGUGAACGCUGGCGGCGUGGAUUAGGCAUGCAAGUCGAGCGAUCCUUGUCGCUGAUGCUGAUUGAAACCUUCGGGAUGAUAUUAGCUGAAGUGACGCUGGAUAGCGGCAAACCGGUGAGUAACACGUGGGUAACGUACCUUGAGGAAGUGGACAGCCUCGCGAAAGCGGGGGUAAUACACUAUCUGCCUUGGAAUCUGAGAUGAUCCAAUGGAAAGAUGGCCUCUACUUGUAAGCUAUCACCUUAAGAGCGACCCGCGUCCUAUUAGAUUGUUGGUGAGGUAAUGGCUCACCAAGUCGAAGAUGGGUAGCUGGUCUGAGAGGAUGGUCAGCCACAUCGGGACUGAGACACUGCCCGGACUCCUACGGGAGGCUGCAGUCGAGAAUCUUUCACAAUGGACGAAAGUCUGAUGAUGCGACGCCGCGUGGGGGAUGAAGGUUUUCGGAUUGUAAACCCCUUUUAUUUGGGAGGAAAACUAAGUUGCAAAUAGUUUCUUAGUUUGACUGUACCAUAUGAAUAAGCCACGGCUAACUCCGUGCCAGCAGCCGCGGUAAUACGGAGGUGGCAAGCGUUACUCGGUUUGACUGGGUGUAAAGGGUCCGCAGGCGGUCUAUUAAGUGAAAGGUGAAAUCCUUCGGCUCAACCGGAGAAUUGCCUUUCAAACUGAUAGACUUGAGGUUGGAAGAGGAAAGCGGAACUGACGGUGUAAAGGUGAAAUUUGUGGAUAUCGUCAGGAACGCCCGUAGAGAAGUCGGCUUUCUGGUCCAAUCCUGACGCUCAUGGACGAAAGCUAGGGGAGCAAACAGGAUUAGAUACCCUGGUAGUCCUAGCCGUAAACGAUGAGUACUAGGUGUCUGUUCGGAAGAAUGGGUGCCGCAGCUAACGCGUUAAGUACUCCACCUGGGGACUACGGCCGCAAGGCUAAAACUCAAAGGAAUUGACGGGGGCCCGCACAAGCGGUGGAACACGUGGUUUAAUUCGAUGCUACGCGAGGAACCUUACCAGGGCUUGACAUGCUUGAAGUAGUGCCCCGAAAGGGGUUACCACCAGUAACCAGUCUGGAACUUGCACAGGUGCUGCAUGGUUGUCGUCAGCUCGUGCCGUGAGGUGUUCCCUUAAGUGGGAGAACGAGCGCAACCCUCGCCUUUAGUUGCCACUCUUGAUUUAAUCAAGAAGCACUCUAAAGGGACUGCCCGCGUUAAGUGGGAGGAAGGUGGGGACGACGUCAAAUCCGCAUGGCCCUUAUGUCCUGGGCUACACACGUGUUACAAUGCCUAUUACAGAGGGACGCCAAUCCGUGAGGUGGAGCAAAUCUCUUAAAAAUAGGCCCAGUUCGGAUUGAAGGCUGCAAUUCGCCUUCAUGAAGCCGGAAUCGCUAGUAAUGGCGUAUCAGCUACGACGCCGUGAAUACGUUCCCGGGCCUUGUACACACCGCCCGUCAAGCGCUGAAAGUGGGGGGCACCCGAAGACUCGAUUUUUCGAGGACACGGUGAAUUUCAUGAUUGGCGCUAAGUCGAAACAAGGUA